rnacentral:SRP_RNA from 1 species
UGGGCUAGGAGGGGGGCUUGGCGUACCCUGUAUCGCAAAUCGUCAUCAUGGCGGUCCGAACGCCCUUGGGCGGCGUAACCGAGCCGUACGCGACGCAACCGUGGACGUUGAUAUCUCGCCCCCAAGUGACUCAGGUUGGAGUGAACCGUAUCCGGAGGGAGACGGCUAGCACCUUCGCCGGGGAAUCAGGCCAGGCCAGGAAUGGAGCAGCCCAACCCGGAACUUCGGGUGCCUUGGGGUACCGGGAUUGAGAAGACGGGGGCACUCUCGUGUGCGGAGACGAGCGUCCACCAGGGGCCCGCCCACUC